UGAGGAAUAUUGGACAAUGGGCGAAAGCCUGAUCCAGCCAUGCCGCGUGAGUGAUGAAGGCCCUAGGGUUGUAAAGCUCUUUCAGCGGGGAAGAUAAUGACGGUACCCGCAGAAGAAGCCCCGGCUAACUUCGUGCCAGCAGCCGCGGUAAUACGAAGGGGGCUAGCGUUGUUCGGAAUUACUGGGCGUAAAGCGCGCGUAGGCGGAUUGCUAAGUCAGGGGUGAAAUCCCGAGGCUCAACCUCGGAACUGCCUUUGAUACUGGCUGUCUUGAGUCCGGGAGAGGUGAGUGGAAUUCCUAGUGUAGAGGUGAAAUUCGUAGAUAUUAGGAAGAACACCAGUGGCGAAGGCGGCUCACUGGCCCGGUACUGACGCUCAUGUGCGAAAGCGUGGGGAGCAA
rnacentral:rRNA from 1 species